UACGUAGGUGGCAAGCGUUGUCCGGAAUUAUUGGCGUAAAGCGCGCGCAGGCGGUCCUUUAAGUCUGAUGUGAAAGCCCACGGCUCAACCGUGGAGGGUCAUUGGAAACUGGGGGACUUGAGUACAGAAGAGAAGAGUGGAAUUCCACGUGUAGCGGUGAAAUGCGUAGAUAUCGGGAGGAACACCAGUGGCGAAGGCGACUACCUGGCCGUGUUCUUGACGCUGAGGCGCGAAAGCUAGGGGAGCAA
rnacentral:rRNA from 1 species